rnacentral:rRNA from 1 species
AAUCUUCGGCAAUGGGCGAAAGCCUGACCGAGCGAUGCCGCGUGUAGGAUGAAGGCCCUCGGGUUGUAAACUACUGUCAGUUGGGAGGAAAUCCCUUGGGGCUAUCCCCUUGGGUUGACCUAUCUUCAGAGGAAGGACGGGCUAAGUUCGUGCCAGCAGCCGCGGUAAUACGAACCGUCCAAACGUUAUUCGGAAUUAUUGGGCUUAAAGGGUACGUAGGCGGCCAUGUAGGUGGGGUGUGAAAUCCCCCGGCUCAACCGGGGAACUGCGCCCCAAACCACAUGGCUUGAGGGAGACAGAGGUAAGCGGAACUGAUGGUGGAGCGGUGAAAUGCGUUGAUAUCAUCAGGAACACCAGUGGCGAAAGCGGCUUACUGGGUCUCUUCUGACGCUGAGGUACGAAAGCUAGGGUAGCGAACGGGAUUAGAUACCCCGGUAGUCCUAGCUGUA